rnacentral:rRNA from 1 species
AGAGUUUGAUCCUGGCUCAGGAUGAACGCUAGCUACAGGCUUAACACAUGCAAGUCGAGGGGAAACGACAUCGAAAGCUUGCUUUUGAUGGGCGUCGACCGGCGCACGGGUGAGUAACGCGUAUCCAACCUGCCCAUCACCUGGGGAUAACCUUGCGAAAGUAAGACUAAUACCCAAUGAUAUCUCUAGAAGACAUCUGAAAGAGAUUAAAGAUUUAUCGGUGAUGGAUGGGGAUGCGUCUGAUUAGCUUGUUGGCGGGGUAACGGCCCACCAAGGCUACGAUCAGUAGGGGUUCUGAGACGGAAGGUCCCCCANAUUGGAACUGAGACACGGUCCAAACUCCUACGGGAGGCA